GAUGAACGCUGGCGGCGUGCCUAAUACAUGCAAGUCGAGCGAACGGACGAGAAGCUUGCUUCUCUGAUGUUAGCGGCGGACGGGUGAGUAAUACGUGGAUAACCUACCUAUAAGACUGGGAUAACUUCGGGAAACCUGAGCUAAUACCGGAUAAUAUUUUGAACGGCAUGGUUCAAAAGUGAACGACGUUCUUGCUGUCACUUAUAGAUGGAUCCGCGCUGCAUUAGCUAGUUGGUAAGGUAACGGCUUACCAAGGCAACGAUGCAUAGCCGACCUGAGAGGGUGAUCGGUCACACUGGAACUGAGACACGGUCCAGACUCCUACGGGAGGCAGCAGUAGGGAAUCUUCCGCAAUGGGCGAAAGCCUGACGGAGCAACGCCGCGUGAGUGAUGAAGGUCUUCGGAUCGUAAAACUCUGUUAUUAGGGAAGAACAUAUGUGUAAGUAACUGUGCACAUCUUGACGUUACCUAAACAGAAAGCCACGGCUAACUACGUG
rnacentral:rRNA from 1 species